UAAUUAAUUGCGAACCGUGUCUCGGGAGCGUUAGAGAUGGAGACUAACGUCUUUCAAGGGAGAUUGCGUCUCCACUUUCACCCUGGUACUGAGAGAUUGAGCACAAAAUUGGUAACCAAUGCUGCGCUUCCAGCAAAUUUUCCCACCAGCACCCAAUCCGGGGAUAUUUAUUCUCUUUGUCUCACAUCCUACAGGAACGCAGUCGCGGGGUAUAUCCCCCUGAAAACCGUACGUUGCCAAAUAAUGAUUUCUUUGGAUUAGAGAACUACAACUCCCCUGGGUCCUGAGCCGGUAUUUCCCUUUUGCGGCUGCACCGUAGUUAAAAACAAAGCUAAGUGUUCUGGGACGUAUAGUUCUAGCGUUCCUUGGGUCCCGCUGGCGAGCGUGGGCUUUCUGCAGCUCGCAACCGGCCUCGUGCUUUGCGGACGGUUCACUGCGCUUGGAAAGGGAUUGGCCUGGGGUACAUCAUCUAAAGAUCCUAGGAUUGCUGCAGGUCAGCAGUCUCCACUGGAAAAAAAGAUCUUGAAUCUAGGUGGUGUGCAUACAACAGCAGCAAGACAGUUGAUAAUGCAGAAAUAUCAGGAGGAGUGUGAAAUACUCUGUAGGGAGCAAGCUGUUUCUCUUGACUACUGGCUUGCCAAAGCAGAGUCUUAUUAUAAUAAAAUAAUAGUGGAAAUGAUGAAAGAAGAGACAGGCAAUGAAAUCUAGAAAAAAAUGGAGGAGAAAACAACCCAAAGCGUAGAAGGACUAAAACAGUACUGUUUGGUACCUGAGAGAGAGAUGAAACACAUAGAAAGGCACAUACAUCAGACAGGAAAGGCUGGAGAAUUUAAGAACAAAUCAUUUAGACAAGUACUACAACCCCCCAAUGAAACAAAAUUACCAAAAAUUAUGCCAGAAGGGCAUGGCAUCCAGAACGCACAGAGAAGAAAGCAGGUAAAUGAGAGGGAACAGAUGCAGACUAAGGAUCACCAGGAACGCAUGAUUCGAGGGAGAGAACUUGCAGAACAAAGACUCAAGGAGAGAAUCUUGAGAAGAAGCCAGAGCCAGCUACUUACAUAUGAGAAGCAUGAGAGAGUAAAAGAGAUAAAGGAGUUUGAAAGAGUUAUUGCGUAUCUUCUUUUCCAACCAUGCAGUAGAAGUCGGAUUAAACAUGUAUUUCAAGUCCUCUGAUGAAUCAUGUGAUCUACUAGACCCUGAAGAUACAGUGAAGAGCAAAAGUAAGAUGCUGGCAAUUUGAUGUUUGCACUGUCAUGAAGGAGAUGCACAUUUAGCAGAACUUACAAAGAGAAAUAUAAAAUUACUGCUGAGCUAAGUGUGGUGAAGAAAAGUUCAUGGUACCAUGAAAGCAGAUAACCAGGAGAUCUAACAGGUCCACUACCACUAUUCUCAAUAAUACCUAAAAGAAAUAAUAAGAUAUGGCAUUUAUAAAUGAUGAAUAGGAUUUUAUAAAAUUAUAUACAAUCAGAGAACCAAAAAGCACUCUUGGAAAUCAAAAAGUGAUCAUUUAAAUAAGUAUUUCAAUAGAUCACUUGGAAGAGUAAAUUUGUACUACCACUAAAUAUUAAAAAUGGAAAAACAAUGUCAAGAAAGACAGAAAAACUAUAUGAAUACUAGGCUAUCAGUCAAGGAUUUCCUGCAACUUAAUAAUACAAAUUCUAAAAGAAUGGAAAGAUAGAAAUUAUUUAAAAUAAAAAAAUUUCUCC
ensembl:lncRNA POLR1HASP POLR1H antisense, pseudogene